AAUCUCAUUCACAGAAAAUGCUU
rnacentral:snRNA from 1 species